rnacentral:rRNA from 1 species
CAGUCGAACGGAGUUACGAUGAAACCUAGUGAUUCGUAACUUAGUGGCGGACGGGUGAGUAACGCGUGGAUAACCUGCCUUACACUGGGGGAUAACACUUAGAAAUAGGUGCUAAUACCGCAUAAGCGCACGGAGCCGCAUGGCUCAGUGUGAAAAACUCCGGUGGUGUAAGAUGGAUCCGCGUCUGAUUAGCUGGUUGGCGGGGUAGAAGCCCACCAAGGCGACGAUCAGUAGCCGGCCUGAGAGGGUGAACGGCCACAUUGGGACUGAGACACGGCCCAAACUCCUACGGGAGGCAGCAGUGGGGAAUAUUGCACAAUGGGGGAAACCCUGAUGCAGCAACGCCGCGUGAGUGAAGAAGUCAUUCGUGAUGUAAAGCUCUAUCAGCAGGGAAGAAAAUGACGGUACCUGAGUAAGAAGCCCCGGCUAACUACGUGCCAGCAGCCGCGGUAAUACGUAGGGGGCAAGCGUUAUCCGGAUUUACUGGGUGUAAAGGGAGCGUAGACGGCCAGACAAGUCUGAAGUGAAAAUCCAGCGCUUAACGUUGGAAGUGCUUUGGAAACUGCCGGGCUAGAGUGCAGGAGGGGCAGGCGGAAUUCCUAGUGUAGCGGUGAAAUGCGUAGAUAUUAGGAGGAACACCAGUGGCGAAGGCGGCCUGCUGGACUGCAACUGACGUUGAGGCUCGAAGGCGUGGGGAGCAAACAGGAUUAGAUACCCUGGUAGUCCACGCGGUAAACGAUGAUUACUAGGUGUCGGGGGGCUAGAGCCCUUCGGUGCCGUCGCAAACGCAAUAAGUAAUCCACCUGGGGAGUACGUUCGCAAGAAUGAAAC